rnacentral:rRNA from 1 species
AUUGAACGCUGGCGGCAUGCUUUACACAUGCAAGUCGAACGGCAGCACGAAAGAGCUUGCGCUUUUUGUGGCGAGGGGCGGACGGGUGAGUAAUGCAUCGGAACGUACUGAGUAAGGGGGGAUAACUGUCCGAAAGGAUAGCUAAUACCGCAGACGCUUUGAGACGGAAAGGGGGGGGUCUACGGACCUCACGUGAUGCGAGCGGCCUAUGUCUGAAUAGCGUGUUGGUGGGGUAAAGGUCCACCAAGGCGACGAGCAGUAGCGGGUCUGAGAGGAUGAGGCGCCCCCCUGGGACUGAGACACGUCCCAGUCUCCUUCGGGUGCCGGCCGUGCGGCCUUUUGGGCGAUGGGCGCAAGCCUGAUCCAGACGUGCCGCGUGUCUGAAGAACGCCUUCGGGUUCGAAAGGACUUCUGUUAGGGAAGAAAAGGCUUGUGUUUGUACCGUUAUCUGCUGACGGUACCUAGAGAAUAAGCCCCGGCUAACUACGUG